rnacentral:rRNA from 1 species
CCCUUAGAGUUUGAUCCUGGCUCAGGAUGAACGCUAGCUACAGGCUUAACACAUGCAAGUCGAGGGGCAGCAUGAACUUAGCUUGCUAAGUUUGAUGGCGACCGGCGCACGGGUGAGUAACACGUAUCCAACCUUCCGUUUACUCAGGGAUAGCCUUUCGAAAGAAAGAUUAAUACCUGAUAGUAUGGUGAGAUUGCAUGAUAACACCAUUAAAGAUUUAUUGGUAAACGAUGGGGAUGCGUUCCAUUAGGUAGUAGGCGGGGUAACGGCCCACCUAGCCUGCGAUGGAUAGGGGUUCUGAGAGGAAGGUCCCCCACAUUGGAACUGAGACACGGUCCAAACUCCUACGGGAGGCAGCAGUGAGGAAUAUUGGUCAAUGGGCGAGAGCCUGAACCAGCCAAGUAGCGUGAAGGAUGAAGGUCCUACGGAUUGUAAACUUCUUUUAUACGGGAAUAAAGUUUCCUACGUGUAGGAUUUUGUAUGUACCGUAUGAAUAAGCAUCGGCUAACUCCGUGCCAGCAGCCGCGGUAAUACGGAGGAUGCGAGCGUUAUCCGGAUUUAUUGGGUUUAAAGGGAGCGCAGACGGGAGAUUAAGUCAGUUGUGAAAGUUUGCGGCUCAACCGUAAAAUUGCAGUUGAUACUGGUUUCCUUGAGUGCAGUUGAGGCAGGCGGAAUUCGUGGUGUAGCGGUGAAAUGCUUAGAUAUCACGAAGAACCCCGAUUGCGAAGGCAGCUUGCUAAACUGUAACUGACGUUCAUGCUCGAAAGUGUGGGUAUCAAACAGGAUUAGAUACCCUGGUAGUCCACACGGUAAACGAUGGAUACUCGCUGUUGGCGAUAUACUGUCAGCGGCCAAGCGAAAGCAUUAAGUAUCCCACCUGGGGAGUACGCCGGCAACGGUGAAA